rnacentral:rRNA from 1 species
AACUUUCAACAACGGAUCUCUUGGCUCUCGCAUCGAUGAAGAACGCAGCGAAACGCGAUAGGUAAUGUGAAUUGCAGAAUUCAGUGAAUCAUCGAAUCUUUGAACGCACCUUGCGCUCUCUGGUAUUCCGGAGAGCAUGCCUGU